rnacentral:ncRNA from 1 species
CAGGAGGCUGCCGAAAAUCCUAUUUAACAGAGUAGGCU